GGUGCAAAGAGGGAAAGCUACAUGGGCCUAGGUGUAUUAUGAAGCCCAAAUGCAGGAAAAUGAGAGAGAGAGAAGAGAGAGAUUCACGUUUCAAUCCAUUUCACCAUGUUCAGAAUAAUAUUCCGCUCUCAUCAACCUUUGGCUGGAAAACAGAGUCUCCGCCGCGCCAGAAAUUGCCUCCGACGGCGGCGGAGAGCCAAAUACCUUAACUCUAACAUAAAUCAACUCGUCUACUUCCCCUUUUCACCAAUCCAGUAUUGACUUCAACUUAUUCCUACCCUAACAACCAAACCGGAACAAAUCUCAAGAUUCCUAAAUCCUAAUUUCAAAAAUUAAAUGCAAGAACGGAGGAAUCAAGGCCUCUAAUUUUAGGGCUUUGAUUCCUUAAAUCAAACCCUACAUGGUGGUAUCAGAGUUAGGGCUAAAUGUUGAAGAAUUUCCUACCUUCGAGACGAACAGUUCUUUGGUGCAGUUAGAAUCUGAGGCAAAUGAAGAUGAAGACGGUGAAACUUCCUCAGGCUGACUUGGCUUGGAGUUUGUUCAAGACUUCAAGACACUUGAAGUGAGACUACAAUGGAGGUCAAUGAUAAUGGCUUGAAGAACGAAGACAUGGAUUGCUUGCAAAUGAAGGAAACUUGGAUAUGAAGCCCAAAGAAAAGAUGGAAAAGUGAAGACCAAAGAGAAAAUUGGGAUUAAGUUUAGAGAUUAGGUUAGUUGACUUUGGUCAAGUAGAUAACCAAAAAUUCAACAGUUGACCAAAGUCAAUUGUAGGUCAAAGUCAUUUUUUUUUGUAAUUUUGUAUGGAUUCUUGUAAUUUUGGUCUUGUGUAAAUGGAAUUGACACUUUGACAAGAAAAUAGUCCUUUAUUAAAUGAAACAUGCCUUGUUUCUCAAGCAAAA